AUACGUAGGUGGCAAGCGUUAUCCGGAUUUACUGGGUGUAAAGGGCGUGUGGGCGGGUUGUCAAGUCAGAUGUGAAAUCUAUGGGCUUAACCCAUAACGUGCAUUUGAAACUGACAGUCUUGAGUGAUGGAGAGGCAGGCGGAAUUCCUAGUGUAGCGGUGAAAUGCGUAGAUAUUAGGAGGAACACCAGUGGCGAAGGCGGCUUACUGGACUGUAACUGACGUUGAGGCUCGAAAGCGUGGGGAGC
rnacentral:rRNA from 1 species